rnacentral:rRNA from 1 species
UACGAAGGGGGCUAGCGUUGUUCGGAAUUACUGGGCGUAAAGCGCACGUAUGCGGGCGAUUAAGUCAGGGGUGAAAUCCCGGAGCUCAACUCCGGAACUGCCUUUGAUACUGGUCGUCUAGAGAUCGGAAGAGGUGAGUGGAAUUCCCAGUGUAGAGGUGAAAUUCGUAGAUAUUGGGAAGAACACCAGUGGCGAAGGCGGCUCACUGGUCCGAUACUGACGCUGAGGUGCGAAAGCGUGGGGAGCAAACAGG